ACAUACGACCAUAGGGUGUGGAGAACAGGGCUUCCCGUCCGCUCAGCCGUACUUAAGCCACAGGGCUUCCCGUCCGCUCAGCCGUAGCCGGUUAGUAGUUGGGUGGGUGACCACCAGCGAAUCCCGGCUGUUGUAUGUU
rnacentral:rRNA from 1 species